rnacentral:rRNA from 1 species
UACGUAGGGCGCGAGCGUUGUCCGGAAUUAUUGGGCGUAAAGAGCUCGUAGGCGGCCGGUUGCGUCUGCUGUGAAAUCCCGGGGCUUAACCCCGGGCGUGCAGUGGAUACGGGCCGGCUGGAGGCAGGCAGGGGAGAAUGGAAUUCCCGGUGUAGCGGUGAAAUGCGCAGAUAUCGGGAGGAACACCGGUGGCGAAGACGGUUCUCUGGGCCUGUACUGACGCUGAGGAGCGAAAGCGUGGGGAGCGAACAGG